rnacentral:rRNA from 1 species
UACGUAGGGGGCUAGCGUUGUCCGGAAUCAUUGGGCGUAAAGAGCGUGUAGGCGGCCCGGUAAGUCCGCUGUGAAAGUCGGGGGCUCAACCCUCGAAUGCCGGUGGAGUACUGUCGGGCUAGAGUGCGGAAGAGGCAUGGUGGAACUCCCGGUGUAGCGGUGGAAUGCGUAGAGAUCGGGAAGAACACCCGUGGCGAAGGCGACAUGCUGGGUUGCACCUGACGCUGAGUUGCGAAAGUGUGGGGAGCAAACGGG